rnacentral:rRNA from 1 species
CGAACGGGUGAGUAGCACGUGGGCAACCUACCCUUCUGUGGGGGACAACUCCGGGAAACCGGGGCUAAUACCGCAUUCGGUCACCGUUCGCAUGGACGGUGCAGAAAGCAGCAAUGCGCAGGAGGAUGGGCCCGCGGCCUAUCAGCUAGUUGGUGGGGUAACGGCCUACCAAGGCGUAGACGGGUAGCUGGUCUGAGAGGACGACCAGCCACACGGGGACUGCGACACGGCCCCG